rnacentral:rRNA from 1 species
CAGUAGCCACGGUAAUACGAAGGUCCCGAGCGUUGUUCGGAAUCACUGGGCGUAAAGGGAGCGUAGGCGGCGUGGUAAGUCAGAUGUGAAAUCCCGGGGCUCAACCCCGGAACUGCAUCCGAUACUGCCGUGCUAGAGGAUUGGAGAGGUAGCUGGAAUUCUUGGUGUAGCAGUGAAAUGCGUGGAGAUCAAGAGGAACACUCGUGGCGAAAGCGAGCUACUGGACAAUAUCUGACGCUGAGGCUCGAAGGCCAGGGUAGCGAAAGGGAUUAGAUACCCCCGUAGUCCCUGUCUCUUAUAC